rnacentral:tRNA from 2 species
CGGGGCGUAGCGCAGCCUGGUAGCGCACCUGCUUUGGGAGCAGGGGGCCGGAGGUUCAAAUCCUCUCGCCCCGACCA